CCUACGGGGGGCAGCAGUCGAGAAUCAUUCACAAUGGGGGAAACCCUGAUGGUGCGACGCCGCGUGGGGGAAUGAAGGUCUUCGGAUUGUAAACCCCUGUCAUGUGGGAGCAAAUUAAAAAGAUAGUACCACAAGAGGAAGAGACGGCUAACUCUGUGCCAGCAGCCGCGGUAAUACAGAGGUCUCAAGCGUUGUUCGGAAUCACUGGGCGUAAAGCAUGCGUAGGCUGUUUCGUAAGUCGUGUGUGAAAGGUGCGGGCUCAACCCGCGGACGGCACAUGAUACUGCGAGACUAGAGUAAGGGAGAGGGAACCGGAAUUCUCGGUGUAGCAGUGAAAUGCAUAGAUAUCGAGAGGAACACUCAUGGCGAAGGCAGGUUACUGGAGAUUAACUGACGCUGAGGCACGAAGGCCAGGGGAGCGAAAGGGAUUAGAUACCCGGGUAGUC
rnacentral:rRNA from 1 species